rnacentral:rRNA from 1 species
GACGAACGCUGGCGGCGUGCUUAACACAUGCAAGUCGAACGGAAAGGCCCUGCUUUUGUGGGGUGCUCGAGUGGCGAACGGGUGAGUAACACGUGAGUAACCUGCCCUUGACUUUGGGAUAACUUCAGGAAACUGGGGCUAAUACCGGAUAGGAGCUCCUGCUGCAUGGUUUGUGUUUGUAAGAUUCGCCGGUUGGGGACUGACUCGCGGUUUAUCAUUUUGUUGGUGGGGUAGUGGGUUAAAGAGGCUUUGAGGGGUUGCUGGCUGGCGAGGGUGCCCGGCCACAUGGGGACUGAGAGACGGCCGAGACGCAUCCGGGAGGAAGGAGUGGGGAAUAUCGCACAAUGGGCGGAAGCGUGAAGAAGAACGCCGCGUGCGGGAUGACGGCCUUCGGGUUGUAACCCGCUUUCGCCUGUGAAGAAGCGUAAGUGACGGUAAUGGGUAAAGAAGCACCGGCUAACUACGUG